GUUAUCUUGAAGAAAAAUAUAAUAAGAAGUGUCUAGUCCGGUAUAAGGACAUAUUUGGCACACAGUAAUGGUUACUAUUUCUAUACCCUGCCCCUCAAAUGCCCGCACACAACCUGUCUGGUACUUCAGGUUCUAGUUCCCCGAAGCCCAGUUGCCUGACUGCCUCUUCCAGCUGUGCCCUUGCAGGGACUUCUCCUCUGCUGAAUGAUUUUCCCCAUCUCUUCUUAUUGUCCACCUACUUGGUAGCUGGGAUGUGGAGGACAUCACCUCCUCAGGAAAGCCUUCUCUGAUUGACACACACCCUCCUCCUCCCUCUUCACACCGACCCUUUAGGUGGCCCUUGUCCUUCCUCCCCUGUGGACUGCAGGGUCUGCUCAGUCCUCUGUAGUCCUGGAGUGCUGGCCAAGGAUCGAGCUCCCCUCCACAGGGUGGGGAUUCAUGGCAGGGGCAGGCCUUACUCUCCACCUACACAGACAUCCAGAAAAGUUUCGGUUUCCCCUAAACGUUAUGUUGAUCUUCCCAUGCUCACAAAGAAGAGUUUGGGUUUCCCCUAAGUUGUGAUCUCAUUUUUCCUGUCUUCCCUACCCUCCAGCCCUACCCCAGCCAAGGGGCCGUGCCAGCUUUCAUGGUGAAGAUGCCUGGGGUUUCCUGGGCAGCCCUUCAUAUACUGUGUAAUAGCAAUGGAAGGAAUCCACAGGUGAAUGCUGAUGCAGGAAGCUCCCAGUCCAGCAGGGAGGGCAGCCAUAUAUGCAAGGAGCAGAAACACACAAUGUGGAAUGGGUGCAGAGAGCCAGGCAAGGGCACAGAGGACAAGUCUCACUGGGCCUCAAAGGGUGGCCACAGUGUGGCUGCGGGGAUUGGAGGGCAGGCUUUGGAACAGACAGCCUCAGCUAGAAAGCCCUGGGAGGGCCCAUGAGAGGCCUCCAAGUAGGCAAAGGGGCAACAGCAGGUGCAGCAGCCUGGGACUCUAGGAAGGGGCCCUGGAAACCUGAACCUCAAUGGCCAUGGCAGUGACAGAGGGGUCUGUGCUGGGCUUUAGGGAGGUGCCUCAGGCAAUGUGGAGGACCUCCAGGAGGCGGGACAAGGCAGUGUCUGGCAAAGGCAGGGACAGACAGCAAACAAGACAGAGCCAGGCACCCAGGAAGGGCAGAGACCCCUUGGGGGAGAGGGAAGUUGCGGUGCCACAGGACAGGCUGGGGGCUGUUCUUAAGGGGAGGCUUUGAUUUUUGUGGUUUUGUUUUUCCCAGAAGUCUCUCCAAGGAGUAAGAUUCCUUUCUUAGGACUCAAGAAGUCAGAGGCCCCCUUCUCUGGGGCCCCUGGGGUUUGGGCGAGAGUACUGGAGCAGAAAGCAGGGCUGGGCUGGGCCUGGGGCCAGACCUCAAUGACUGUUUCCUUCCCGUCAGCGAGCGGAGAAGCAGUGACAGAGUGUACCAGGAGGGGAAGCUGACGGUGGCCCCAACUCCUCUCUUGAAUGGGAUAUGACCACCCCACCUGCCCCUCAGUGUUUGCAGGACACUCUGGCACACUCAUGCCUUCCUUUCCUGGUGAACCUGUAUCCCACUACAAAGAGGAACAGAACUCCCC
rnacentral:lncRNA from 10 species